rnacentral:rRNA from 1 species
CAGUCGCCGCGGUAAUGCGAAGGGGGCUAGCGUUGCUCGGAAUGACUGGGCGUAAAGCGCACGUAGGCGGCUUUGUAAGUUAGAGGUGAAAGCCUGGGGCUCAACUCCAGAAUUGCCUUUAAGACUGCAUCGCUUGGACGUCGGAGAGGUGAGUGGAAUUCCGAGUGUAGAGGUGAAAUUCGUAGAUAUUCGCAAGAACACCAGUGGCGAAGGCGGCUCACUGGCCCGGUACUGACGCUGAGGUGCGAAAGCGUGGGGAGCAAACAGGAUUAGAUACCCCAGUAGUCCCUGUCUCUUAUAC